GGUUCGAUGGCGUAGUUGGUUAUCGCAUCUGUCUAACAUCGGUCGCCCCUUGUGAAUAAAUUUGCACAGAAGGUCCCCAGUUCGAGCCUGGGUCGAAUCA